rnacentral:tRNA from 1 species
GCCGAAUUAGCUCAGUUGGUAGAGCAACGCACUCGUAACGCGUAGGUCGUAGGUUCGAGCCCUAUUUUCGGCACCA